CGCAGGGCUCAUGCCACAACUGUCCUAGAAAUAGAAAAUUCUUCCAAAGUAAAAAGUUUAUGUUUAAAAUAUAGGGAAAAGACUUGAAUAGACAUUUCACCAAAGACGACAUGUCAAUGGCAAAUAAACACAUCCAAAGGAGCUCAACCUCCAUGAAGAGGGGAAAAGCGCAUCGAAGCCCACUGCACACCUGCUGGAAUAACCCUGAUCAAAACCCAGAGGAUGGCAGGAGCCGCCCGACCUGCAAACAGCCACGGUGUCCCUGCUGACCCCGUGCCUCCAGCACAGCCUCCUCCUGGACUUGGUUUUAUCCACAGCUGCUGAGGUCACUUGCUCCAACUCCAGAAGGAAUUCUGCUCACAGCUGUCACACUGACCAGCACGUCCCAGGUCCUCAGAACUUUCCCAGCGCCAGUGAACUUUCUCAAAGAGCAAUAGGUAACCUUCUCCUUUCUUGUAAAACCACCAACCUUCUACUGCUUCUCCAACCUCCACCAUUUACCUGGUCGGCACAUAUGCCCCAAGAUGCAAUCCUUUCUUCCCAAAUAAAACGUUAAACUUGGAAAUUCGCCUCUACAUUUUUAUUUUGACUUGAACAUACCCCAGCAACCGUGAGACCCCGAGGACACGAGUGACCUUCCCUGCUCCUGGUUCCUUCGUGUGCACAACAGGCCGUGCUGUCUCCUGGAGCCUGGGGCCUGGCACCUGGGAGCUCAGCCAGAGCGGCCCCAGCAACCUCCCUGUAGCUCCAGCAGUGCCAUCCCUGUGGUCAGCGUGGACCUGGCCUCCCAGUGGCCCCAAGUCCCCCCAUAGCUCCAGUACUGCUGUCCCUGCAGCGUGAACCCGGCCUCCCAGUGGCCCUGUAUUCCAUGGAGGCCUGGGCCCCCUGCCCUCCUGAGCCUCACAGUGACCAGCCAGCCUCACACGCUGCUGACCCUCAGUAGUGGCCAACCCCGUGUCUGUCGGAGGGCACAGGCCACCAUCCCCAUGGAGCUCAGGCCUGCUGCCUGGGCAGGGGCCCUCCAGGAAGCCUGGCACUUAGGGGUGGCAGCUCAAGCUUGUUGGGGGUGGGGAGCUGGCCGGGCAGUCAGGGCCCGUCAUGUGCGACUUUGGGCCAAUCCCAUCCCCUCUGGGCCUCUGUUCCCAUUUACCAGAGAAAGAUGGUCUCCGCUGAGCCAACCACCUUCAUCCAAACCGAAGGACAGAAACCACCUCUGCUGAGCCUGGAAGCAGCCAAGGGAGUGGAGAAGCCGGCGGGGAUCCCCAGGUUGGGCCACACACACCCCAGUGAGGCUGCGGGAGAGACGUGCCACCUCCCGAGGUGCAGAGUUUCGCAGGGCACAACCCACUCCCGUCUGCUCCUCCAGCACCCUGUGACCCAGGAUGGGCGGGUUUCCUGUGCCCCACUUCACAGACGGGAACAUUGAGGCUGGGGGGAGCUGAGUGAGGAGUUUGCGGUCCCCAGCCACACGGUGUGACUCCAGCUUUGCUCAGAUGCCACACGCUGCACGCACUCCUUUACUGGAUGCACCCGGCCCCGCUGGACACUGACGUGCCCCCUCCCAGGACAGCAGCAGGAGCACCCAGCCCUCCUGGAUGUCCCCCUGCCCCUCUGUGCCGCAGCCCUCAUGACUCACUGGGAGGCCAAAAGGAAGCCCCAAGUGAUUUUCUAGCAGCACCUCCCGCAGCCCUCGGGGUGAGGCUGGGCUGUUCUGCCUGCGAGUGGUGCUAGGGGAACCUCCUGAGGGGUCCCAGGAAGGCCCCUGGCCUCCUGCCUCCACACCCCUGAUUUCUUGGAUCCCUUUCUUGGUCAGUGAGAGCCGACUGGGUGAAGUCACCCCUGGAGGAGGAGGGAGCUGAAGCAGCCGGUGACUCACUCACACGAGACAGUGGGCGGUGGCCAGGGCAGAGCGGGACUCCCCAUUGCUGGCUAAAAUCCAGACAGCGCCUUGGCCCGAGGUGUCCCUGACAGGACGAGGGUGGAGUGGCAGCUGCUGAAACCUGAACUCCUCUGCCCUGCCCCCGUCCCUUGACCUCACGCAUCUAGUAGGUCAGCGCCAGAGGAAAUCCUCGAAGAAAAUGGGCGUCUCCCUUGCUGAGCACAGAACCGCAGUCAGUCCUGUGUGCCCGCUCCCUGGAUGAGGACAGGAAGGACGUGGGGGAGAGGCCACAGUCACCCUCAGGAGCCCCCAGACCCACUGGAAAGCAGCCCAUCCGGAUUUUCACAGGUCUGCUUCUCCCGGGGGCCACGCCUGCAUUUCUGCGAACGAUCCCCAGCUGUCCCUAAUGAAACGUGCUCCUCCACUGAGAGGGAGCCCAGCCCCACUCAAGUGGGUCAGAGCUCGUCCGUAGGAGGCUGUGUGGGGGUCACGCCACCACAGGACGCAGAUCUGCCAGAAGCCUGUUUUAUUGCACUUAACUAAUUCCCAAGAUAAACCACUGGGAAUUUCCAUGUAAGCACUUAGGCCUCUGUUUAUGAGAAUCUUUGAUCCACUGAGAAUGUUUAGAACUCACUGAAGCAUCCCUGGCCCUGCCCAGCACCAAGCCUUCCAAGAUGCGUGAGGGCAGGGAAAUUGUCGGCCUGUGCUUGGUCUGUGGGGAUCCAGGACCCCAGGAGGGGACCCCAAUAGGGAGCCUCUGCCCCCCAGGUGGUGGGGUCUCUGCUGGGACUCUGCAGGCUCCUGCCCGUGGCCAAGUUCAUGGCUGUCUUUUCCAGAGCUGCCCCGGAGCCCUAGACAGCCCCAUGGAAGGGCCCAUCUUCCUCCGGCCGUGGAGGAAAUUUGCAGCCAUCCGUGACCUGCAAACUGUAGCUUAUGAUGGACUGCUCCCCAUCCACCAAAGCCCAGCCACUUGGUUUGGAAGCCACUGCCCCAAAUGGCCCCUCUCCAGUCACUGAACUGCAGUUCAAAUGCCCCACCCCUUGGCUCUUUGAGCAGCCAGCCUGCCUUCUUGCUCUGGGAUGGUUUCUUCAAAACCCUCUGGAGUAUGUCCAGUUCUUCUGUUAUUUCAGGGUGUUUUAUUUCCAGCACAGAUUUCCACUUCUGCUACCACCGGGAUGGAAAAGGCCUCUUCCCUCCGAUUCCCCCAAUCCCAAGAAUCCAAUUCCUUCGCUAAUGCUGAGUGCAGACAUAGUCUCUACAAUCCAGAAGGCUGAGUGAGGUGGAAAUGUCGGUGCAGCCUGCAGCUCACCUGGUUGUCACUCACAGAUCGGCCUCGGAAAGCUCCAGGAAGUUGAUUUGGGAUGAGCCAGCCAUCCCGCACAGAUGGUGGGAGGGAGAGGAGGCCGGAGCUUCAGCCAGUGCAGUGCCGUGGCCCCUGUUCUGUGGUUCACUGGGGUGUGAGGCCUUCCUUGGGCUCAGAGAGGGGGCCUCCGAGUCCUCAUCCACAGAAGCCCUCUGUGCCACCAGCAGGGAACAGCCAGCAAACAGCCUUCACCCUGAAGAUCCAGACGGAAUUCUUGGUUUCUACAGCUGCUCCCUGCCUCUCCCCACAGCCACGGGAAGGGGAGUUAACCGAGGCAGCCCCCACCCGAGACAGACCUGCACAGGGCCAAGAACUUGCCCUGUGGUAGGGCUGGGGGAGGAGCGGCUGGUGGACUUUCUGUGUCAAAGGCAGGUGUCACUUUCAGCUCAUUAAUUUCACUUCUACAGGUUCUCAAUCCACCAAAAUGAGCUCUUUACAAAGGCCAGGACCUGCCCUUCUAGAGGACAGGCUCAUACUUCCCAAAGCUUCAGGACUUGGGGUCCUGUGGCUGCCCAUCCGUCAGCAGAACUGGGUGAGGCCAGCUGUGACAUCAGACAAGUCCCCUGCCUCUGGCAAUUCCUCAGCGGGGGGCAUGACCUACUGUGCAUUCCAGGGCUGGGGCACAUGUACUUACCCCUUAGCCUUGGACCACAAGCCUCCCCCAGCCCAAAAUGGAAUGGGGACAGCCUCUGCCACAGGGAGGGGCAGGUGGUGCCGUGUGAGGGGCGGUGGCACCCAGGGCUUUUCUCACAAGGAAAAGGAACCUCGAAGUGUUUCUCUCUGCACACUUUGCCUCCCUCAAAGGCGGGCUCCUUCCUCUCCCACCCGCAUCAGCAGCUGAGGCCCCAGAAGGGCCCACCUGUGUCCCGCGCACCAUGCGUGAGAUCGCUGAUUGCCUCCUGGGGUAGUCGCAGCAUGCUCGAGCCUCUCUGGACCCCAUCCCAGCUGUCAACCAGGAAGCCCCCGUCAGGCUCCAAGACCCCCAGACGCUGGCCCGGGCUCCCCAUUUUCACUUGAUCCUCCCCGCCGUGUUUCUGUCUUCCUGGGGCUGCAGGCAUUUUGGUCAUGGCUGCAUCACACCAGUGUCUGCGUCCGUGGCCACGCAGCCUCCUCCUUUUCUCCGUGUCUUAAACUUCUUUCUGUUCCCUCUUAUCGGGACCUCCUGAUGACAUCAGACGCCGCCCCACCAUGGUUCAGAACAAUCUUUCCAUCUCAAGAUCCUCAGUUCAAUCACAUCUGCAGAGACCCUUUUUUUCCGUGUAAAGUAGCAUUCACAGGUCCCAGGGAUUAGGAUCUGAUAUCUCUGGGGCCAGUACAGAUGGGUUUGAGAUUUGAUCAUGGAGAAAAGAAAUGACGGCAUUUAGCUCUAUAUCCUAGUCAACAGGGAGCCGCUGAGCAUGACUGAGAAGAACGUCAAAAAUCAAGCAGUUUUGUAAAAGAGUAAGGCCUCUCCACUCUCCUAAACCCAGCCAAUUUCUCAAAAUUUGUGAGAGCGGCGUCCUCCCAGCAGCAAACACAAGGGACACGUGUGUGCACCCAGACCGGCACCUACCACUCUAGACAGUCCCCAGAGCGAGGCUUAGGCCUGACGGCCGGAGAUGCAACCGUGGCCAGGGGCCCAGAGCUCAUCAAAACCUGCUCAGUCCAAGGCCUUAGGCUGAGCCUGACAUCGUGUCAUAUUGUGGAAACACUCGUUCCCUCAUUCAGCCAAAUGCUUUUUAAAGCGACUUUUUGGCCGGGCACGGUGGCUCACGCCUGUCAUCCCAGCACUUUGGGAGGCCGAGGUGGGAGGAUCAUUUGAGGUCAGGAGUGUGAGACCAGCCUGACCAAUAUGGUAAAACCCUGUCUCUACUAAAAUACAAAAAAAAAAAACUAGCAGGGCAUGGUGGUGUGCGCCUGUAAUCCCAGCCACUCAGGAGGCUGAGGCAGGAAAAUCACGUGAACCCGGGAGGCGGAGGUUUCAGUGAGCCAAGAUCUUACCACUGCACUCCAGCCUGGGUGACAGAGUGAGACUCCGUCUCGAAACAAAAAAACAAAAAAAAAAACAAAAAAAACAAAAAAAGUGACUUUUUAUUCUAAAACAGUUUUAGAUUUACAGAAAAAAUAUGUAAAUCUGUAAAUGUCCUGAUGGGGCUUGUGUUCUAGGAGUAAGACAUCAGCUCUGCUGCUCAGAUGUCCAGGAGGGUCUUCGGCGGAGCCUGGAGCCCCCCACCCCAGGGUCAGGGGUCUCUCCCUGGAAGGAGGGAUCAGCGCCUGGACUUUGGGGAGGCCGCUUGGGGGCCACGGUGUGUGGAGACCCUGGGACAUUCGUGUGAGUGCAGGUGGGGGUGAGACGCAGAGGAGAGGCAUCUUGGGAGGAGAAAGAGCGCGGUGCCUGGGGGUGGCUGUCAGGUUGGGAGAUCCUGGGGCUCAUAGGGAUUCUGGGGUCCCAGGGAACCCCUAAGUUUGGAGGCUGGAAGGGCCCCCAGCUGCCGUGGCCCUGGAGAGUUCCCAGAGUAUUUCCUGACGAAAUGAACAGAAGACCACAGCCUUCUGCAGCGGAGGAGAAGCAUGCGGAGCAUCCACAUCUACAAAGGCCCCAAAGUGGAAAAACCUGUUGUUUUUCCUGAGCAGCCCGGCUGGAAACAAUGGCGGUUUUGUUUCGCAGACUCCGCAGAAUCUGGCGGGCAGGGGGAUGGGGGCGCCGGAUGCUGCAGGGAGGCGGCUGAGGGAAGGAGGGGGCGUCGACCCUUCCUGACCCACGGAGGACACCUCUCUGGCCCGCUUCGGGGGGGUGGGGGGUGGGUCGGUUUGCCCGGGAGGAAAUCCCACUGCUUCCCACUCACAAGCCGGUGGGUGGCCGCGAGGCCUGGCCGCACAGCCUCAUUCCUGCGACUUUCUUCUGCCUUGUGGCAUGGCUUUUUCUUUUCCCCUAAGGAAAGUUUGCUUAAAGAGAAAGAGACACACAUACCAUUCUCUGGUCCUUUGAAGGGUUGAGCUAAGCUGGGUCAAGAGGAAAUGGCUUGCUCAGUCACCCCUGAGAACAAAAUACUCCCACGAGUUUUGGUGAGGCACUUGUGUCUUCUCAGCUCAAAUCUCUACCACCCCACGGACAAGGCAGUUCAAAUCCAGGCUCACCACCACCUGCUGUGUGGGUUGGGCAAGAUGUGCGCAUCUCUGAGCUUCGGUUCCUUGAGUGUAGAAUAAGCAUAACAUCUGUGUAGAAGGAUUACUGUGAGGGAUGCUGUUUGUACACCUCCCACUGCCAGAACGCAAGUUCCAUGAGUCUGGGGCUGUGUUUUCUCCAUUGCUGCAAACCCUCUAAAAUGUUAGCCGAGUUCAUCAGGACCACAAGGACCACCACCACCAUCAUCGUCACCCUCACCCAAACGCUCAAAUCUCCAAGUGUCUAAACUCAUGGGUCUGUGCCAAAUGCUACCAUGCUUAGCGUCCCCAAAGCUAGAGUCACCACGAAGAAGGUUCUCUCCAGUAUUACUGCCUUAAACUUCUAGCCCAGAACCCUCAAUAAACUUGGGCACCUUUUGUGCUGGGCCUCCUUUAGCCGAUGGCUCCAGGGCCCCUAUCCCUGGCACAGAAGGCCAUCGGCAAUGUAGGGGGUAAGCUGGGGGGGGGGUGGGGGGUGAGCCGUUCAGCUCUGCUGAGCUGUGCUGUCUCAUGGGAGUGGCCCCACCCUUCCAGGAACCUUCCUUGAGCAAAAUCGUCAAAUGUCAGCAGGUGGUCUUGAAAUCCCUUCCUCUGUGACCCAGUAAUUCAGAGAUCUUAAUGAUGUUUCCCCAAAGUUAGAACAUAGUGGCUGUUCCCUAACACACACACACACACACACCCUUUCUCUGUUAUGUGUCUCCCAUAAUUUUUCUGUUUCUCAAUUAUGUUUCUUUCUCUGUUAUGUUUGUCUAUUAUUUCUUCUUUGAAUUGUCAAUGCCUGCUUCUACUGGUCUGUACCAGGUUCUAUUGCAAUCACCUCUGGUUGGGGCAAAACUGCACAUUUAGCUAUUUUAUGAGUGUUUCCUUGUACUUCAUAGAGGGCACCAGAGCCCUUGCAGCAUGUGGGCACACGGGUCAGAGGAUGCAGACUGAAAGGAGCUUCUGGACGUGCAUUCUAUUCUCAUUCUGGAGCCAAGGAAGUGAGAGGGGAAAAGGGAAGUGAUUCUAAGCCUUUUGUGGGGUCUCAUACAUAACUCAGUUUCCACAAAGCUGUGCCCCAGCUCAGCCCUAUGGAUAGAAGCAUGGUCUGGGGUUCCUUUGCUGACCAGGGUGUGUACUUUGUCCAAGUUAUUGACCUUCCCAAACCUCAUCAAUGCACUUAAAAAGAGCACUUGCAAACAAUGAAUCUAGACAUGGACCUUCACAAAGAAAUAACUCAAAAUGGAUCCCAGGCCUAAAUGAAAAAUGAAAAACUAUAAAACUCCUAGAAGAUAACAUAAAAGAAGAUCUAGAUGACCUAGGGUUUGGCAAUGACUUUUUAGAUCCAGCACCAAAGGCAGGGUCCAGGAAAGAAAUAAUUGAUAAGCUAGACUUCAUUAAAAUGAAAACUUCUGCUCUGUGAAAGAUGCUGCCAAGAAAAUGAAAAGACAAGCCACAGACUGGGAGAAAAUAUUUUUGAUGGAAAUAUCUGAGAAGAGAGGCUUGUUAUCCAAAAUAUACAAAGAAUUCCUAAAACUCAACAAUUUGAAAAUAAACAACCCAAUUUAAAAAGUGGGCCAAAGAUCUUAAAUGAUGCCUCACCAAAGAAGAUACACAGAUGGCAAAUAAGCAUACGAAAAGAUGCUCCCGGCUGGGCACGGUGGCUCACGCCCGUAAUCCCAGCACUUUGGGAGGCCAAGGCAGGCAGAUCACCUGAGGUCAGGAGUUGGAGACCAGCCUGGCCAACAUGGCAAAACGCUUUCUCUACUAAAAAUACAAAAAAAAAAAAAAAUUAGUGGGGUAUGGUGGUGCAUGCCUGUAAUCCCAGCUACUCAGGAGGCUGAGGCAGGAGAAUCACUUGAACCUAGGAGGCGGAGGUUGCAGUGAGCUGAGAUUGUGCCACUGCAGUCCAGCAUGGGCAACAAGAGUGAAACUCCAUCAAGGAAAGAAAAGAAAGAAAGAGAGAAAGAAAGAAAGAAAGGAAGGAAGGAAGGAAAAAGGAAGGAAGGAAGGAAGGAAGAAAAGAGGCUCCUCAUCACACAUGUCAUCAGGGAAAUGCAAAUUAAAAUAAGCAUAAGAUAUCGCCUCUCACCUAACAGCAUGGCUAAAACCCAGAACUCCGACAACACCAAAUGCUGGGCGAGGAUGUGGAGCAACAGGAACUCUCACUCAUUGCUGAUGGGAAUGCAAAAUGGUGUGGCCACUGUGGAAGACAGUUUGGUAGCUUCUUAGAAAGCUAAACAUGCUCUUACCAUACCACCCAGUAAUUACACUCCUUGAUAUUUACCCAAAGGAGUUGGAAACUUAUAUUCACAUAAGAACCUACACACAGAUGUUUAUAGCAGCUUUAUUCACUGUGGCCAAAAUGUGGGAGCACCCAAGAUAGCCCUCCAUAAGUGAAUGGAUAAUAAACUGUGGUCCAUCCAGACAGUGGAGCAUUAUUCAGCACUAAACAGAAAUGAGCUGCAAACCAUGAAAGGAUGUGGAGGAAACGUAAGUGCAUAUUACUAAGUCAAAGAAGACAGUCUUAAAAGGCUACGUAGUGUGUGCUUCCAACUGUGUGACAUCCUGGAAAAGGCAAAACUGUGAGAGCCAUCAAAAGAUGAGUGUUGCCCGGGGCUGGCAGGAGGAUGAGAUGAACAGGCAAGACAGAGAGGAUUUUUAGGGCGGUGAAACUACUUUGUAUGAUACCAUAAUGGUGGAUAGAUAUUGUUAGAAAUUUUUCCAAACCCACAGAAUGUACACCACCAGGAAUGAACCCUGAUGUAUGACAGAGCAGGAGCAUCGCCAUUUUGGACAAGUACCACUGUUUUAAAGUUCCCCAUGACCAAAAACGGCCUAAAUCCAACCCAAGGGGCAUCAGCCUAAUGGCUAAUGUCAGCAUGACCAUAAAUCACAAAUGACAUCUCCAACCAGAAACAUGCCAACCCUAAGAUAAACCCCUCCGUAACCAGAGACAUGCCAGCCCAGAGGUAACCUUCCCUCCAACCAGAGACAUUCCAACCCUGUAAUAAACUUCUCCUCCACACAGAAACAUCCUAAGGCUGUGAUAAGCUCUCUCGCCCUGAACCCUUCCAUACUCUUAGUCUGUAAGACAGAGCACUCCUGACUGAAAUUGGCCAGAAGCUCCUCUCAGGUUUAUUCUCCAAAAUAAACCUAUCUUGGACUGUUGA